GUGUCAGCAGCCGCGGUAAUACGUAGGCAGCGAGCGUUGUUCGGAGUUACUGGGCGUAAAGAGUGCGUAGGCGGUUUUCUAAGUUUGGUGUGAAAUCUCCCGGCUUAACUGGGAGGGUGCGCCGAAGACUGGAAGGCUGGAGUAUGGGAGAGGUAAGCGGAAUUCCUGGUGUAGCGGUGAAAUGCGUAGAUAUCAGGAGGAACACCUGCGGUGUAGACGGCUUGCUGGACCAUCACUGACGCUGAGGCACGAAAGCGUGGGUAGCAAACAGGAUUAGAUACCCUGGUAGUCCACGCCCUAAACGAUGCAUACUUGGUGUGGGUAGUUCAUUCUAUCCGUGCCGGAGCUAACGCGUUAAGUAUGCCGCCUGGGGAGUACGGUCGCAAGGCUGAA
rnacentral:rRNA from 1 species